rnacentral:rRNA from 1 species
GACGUAGGGUGCGAGCGUUGUCCGGAUUUAUUGGGCGUAAAGAGCUCGUAGGCGGUGUGUCGCGUCGGCCGUGAAAACCUGCAGCUUAACUGUGGGCGUGCGGUCGAUACGGGCAUCACUGGAGUUCGGCAGGGGAGACUGGAAUUCCUGGUGUAGCGGUGAAAUGCGCAGAUAUCAGGAGGAACACCGGUGGCGAAGGCGGGUCUCUGGGCCGAUACUGACGCUGAGGAGCGAAAGCGUGGGGAGCGAACAGG